GAUAUAGACCCUCUUAUAUAAUUUCCUGAAUUACUGAGCUGCCAGACUGAAACACCAGCGACACGAACAUUAAACUUAAAUUUUGGAAAAACCGUAAAAAAAAAAUAAAGGAACGUAAUUGAAAAAAGUCUAUCUGGGGAAUCUUAAAAACAACAGUGUUUUGGAAGAAUCUAAGAAAUCUGUUCCGUGAUUCUGGAACUUAUGGCCAAACCAAAAAUGGGUGCUUGGAAAAAGUCUGAUACUGAGAAGCAAGCUUUGGAGAGAUCUAGUUCCGGACAUCUGAGGAUUAAUCUUGAUGUAUAGACCAUGAAGCCAGGAAUGACAACUCUGCGCCAAAGCAAGUUGUGCUGCAGCGAUAAUAGUGAAUUUUCAUAGCCUGUACAAAGAUGUACCAGUGAACACUGAGACCAUGAAGAGAUUUGUAAAGGUAGCUUUAACUUGUAGAGGAAGCAAGAAAAAGGAUAUCAAUCAAAAGUUAGAGGGAUACUGUUAAGGGAAAACAUGCAUCCGUUAAUAGUGCUGCUCCAGCAGACUUCUGCACUAAAAUUCGUUUUUCAAAAGAGCAAACCGAUUUCUUUAUAUUUAAUUUUGAAAUUGGACAUGGGGCUAGACAUAAUGUCUGUGUCCCCAGUCAUAUGACUUGUGCUCUGAGACUUCAGUCACUCUUUACUGCAGCACUGCAAGUUGGAAUUAUCACCCCACCCCCCCACCCCCAUCAGCCCAUCAGAAGAACAAUGGGAAGGUAACCAGAUAAUGGCUCCCUGGGAACAGCACUCUGUAAUUAAAAUCCAUGUCCCACUGUGACUCCAGUUACAGAAACCAUAGCCUGCCUGAAAGCACAUAGCCUGCCUGAAAGCAUUUCCAUCUAGGUGCUGGCUCUAAAAGCACAGGACCAGGCAAAAUUACCCGAGAUUGCUGCCUACACACCAACAUUACAAAAAAAAAAAAUACACUUGUUGAGUUAGGAAUGACAUUUUACAUGGCAGAGUGAAUUAUUUGCAGCGUAAACUGUACUUUAGCAAUAAAAACUACACCAUAAACAUUAUGACAGAAUCCCUUUAAAUGAAGAGCCAGGUUGCAUAUUAAGAUAACCUGCAGGAAUAUAAUGUUUCUUUAAAAUUAAACCAACUAAGUCAGUAAUUUCAUUUGGCGACAAACAAUUACCCUUUCCUUUAUGGAUUAGAAGCCCAAAUGUAUGUUCCAUUUUAACUGGGAGCAUAGCCAGCCAAUUGGGGAAAUUAAUGGUACUCCUUGGUGUGUAACAAGUCAUAAAUCAAUCAAGAAAUGUAAAAAUUUGUGAUCAUUGUGUACAAAUAGUAACAAUAAAUCCCCUUUCUGUAUGUGUACCAAA